rnacentral:lncRNA from 1 species
CUCUCUUUAUCUCUCUCUCUCUUUUCUCAUAUUCUGCAAUCUUCAAUCUUACAUCAUUCCUUUCCUUCUUAUCUUUCCCUUCUUCACUCCCUCCUUUUUUUCUUCUCCUAUAGCGACACAUUUUUUUUCUCUUUUUUUCUUUGCGAUCUCCUCCUAUUUUACUUAGAUUCAAAAAUAUCUAUGUUAUUUGAGUAAUUUAUGGGAAAAAUCUGGCGGUACUUGUCGCUUUCUUUUCUUUCUGUUCACUUUCAUAUAUAGUAUUGUAUGAUAUUUUUU